UACGAAGGUCCCAAGCGUUAUCCGGAUUUAUUGGGUUUAAAGGGUGCGUAGGCGGGCUAUUAAGUCAGUGGUGAAAGCCCCAAGCUUAACUUGGGAACUGCCAUUGAUACUGAUGGUCUUGAGUACAUUUGAGGUGGGCGGAAUGUGUCAUGUAGCGGUGAAAUGCUUAGAUAUGACACAGAACACCGAUUGCGAAGGCAGCUCACUAAACUGUAACUGACGCUGAUGCACGAAAGCGUGGGGAGCAAACAGG
rnacentral:rRNA from 1 species